rnacentral:rRNA from 1 species
CCUACGGGGGGCAGCAGUGAGGAAUAUUGGUCAAUGGACGAGAGUCUGAACCAGCCAAGUAGCGUGAAGGAUGACUGCCCUAUGGGUUGUAAACUUCUUUUAUAUGGGAAUAAAACGUUCCACGUGUGGGAUUUUGUAUGUACCAUAUGAAUAAGGAUCGGCUAACUCCGUGCCAGCAGCCGCGGUAAUACGGAGGAUCCGAGCGUUAUCCGGAUUUAUUGGGUUUAAAGGGAGCGUAGGUGGAUUGUUAAGUCAGUUGUGAAAGUUUGCGGCUCAACCGUAAAAUUGCAGUUGAAACUGGCAGUCUUGAGUACAGUAGAGGUGGGCGGAAUUCGUGGUGUAGCGGUGAAAUGCUUAGAUAUCACGAAGAACUCCGAUGGCGAAGGCAGUUCACUGGACUGCAACUGACACUGAGGCUCGAAAGUGUGGGUAUCAAACAGGAUUAGAUACCCCAGUAGUC